rnacentral:misc_RNA from 1 species
GAAAUGCGAUAAGUAAUGUGAAUUGCAGAAUUCAGUGAAUCAUCGAAUCUUUGAACGCACCUUGCGCUCCUUGGUAUUCCUUGGAGCAUGCCUGUUUGAGUAUCAUGAAAUCUUCAAAGUAAAUCUUUUGUUAACUCAAUUGGUUUCUACUUUGGUAUUGGAGGUCUUUGCAGCUUCACACCUGCUCGUCUUUGUUCAUUAGCUGGAUCUCAGUGUUAUGCUUGGUUCCACUCGGCGUGAUAAGUUAUCUAUCGCUGAGGACACUGUAAAAGGUGGCCAAGGUAAAUGCAGAUGAACCGCUUCUAAUAGUCCAUUGACUUGGACAAUACUUUUAUGAUCUGAUCUCAAAUCAGGUAGGACUACCCGCUGAACUUAAGC